rnacentral:misc_RNA from 1 species
GGAAGUAGAAGUCGUAACAAGGUUUCCGUAGGUGAACCUGCGGAAGGAUCAUUAAUGUGUUUGGGCCUCACGGCUCUUCAUUCCGACGCUGUGCGCCUUCGGGCUGCACGCUGAGGGAGCAUAUAUCCACCCCUGUGCACACACACGGUGGCGAGCUGGGUAACGGCUCGCCGCUGAUCUUUACACACGUCUAAAAGUCAUUGUAUGUUUAUUUGAGAUAAAAACACAACUUUCAGCAACGGAUCUCUUGGCUCUC